UACGAAGGGGGCUAGCGUUGCUCGGAAUCACGGGGCGUAAAGCGCACGUAGGCGGACUCUUAAGUCAGGGGUGAAAUCCUGGAGCUCAACUCCAGAACUGCCUUUGAUACUGGGGAUCUCGAGUCCGGGAGAGGUGAGUGGAACUCCGAGUGUAGAGGUGAAAUUCGUAGAUAUUCGGAAGAACACCAGUGGCGAAGGCGGCUCACUGGCCCGGUACUGACGCUGAGGUGCGAAUGCGUGGGGAGCAAUCAGG
rnacentral:rRNA from 1 species